GCCAGUAUGGGUUAAUUGGUAAACUAUCCCUCUUCCAAAGGGAGUAUAUGCGUUCAAGUCGCAUUAUUGGCA